UGCAGUCGAGCGCCCCGCAGGGGAGCGGCAGACGGGUGAGUAACGCGUGGGAAUCUACCGUGCCCUACGGAAUAGCUCCGGGAAACUGGAAUUAAUACCGUAUACGCCCUACGGGGGAAAGAUUUAUUGGGGUAUGAUGAGCCCGCGUUGGAUUAGCUAGUUGGUGGGGUAAAGGCCUACCAAGGCGACGAUCCAUAGCUGGUCUGAGAGGAUGAUCAGCCACAUUGGGACUGAGACACGGCCCAAACUCCUACGGGAGGCAGCAGUGGGGAAUAUUGGACAAUGGGCGCAAGCCUGAUCCAGCCAUGCCGCGUGAGUGAUGAAGGUCUUAGGAUUGUAAAGCUCUUUCACCGGUGAGGAUAAUGACGGUAACCGGAGAAGAAGCCCCGGCUAACUUCGUGCCAGCAGCCGCGGUAAUACGAAGGGGGCUAGCGUUGUUCGGAAUUACUGGGCGUAAAGCGCACGUAGGCGGAUAUUUAAGUCAGGGGUGAAAUCCCAGAGCUCAACUCUGGAACUGCCUUUGAUACUGGGUAUCUUGA
rnacentral:rRNA from 1 species